CCCUUAGAUGUCCUGGGCCGCACGCGCGCUACACUGAUGCAUACAACGAGUUUAUAACCUUGGCCUGAAAGGUCUGGGUAAUCUUUUGAACGUGCAUCGUGAUAGGGAUAGAUUAUUGCAAUUGUUAAUCUUGAACGAGGAAUUCCUAGUAAACGCGAGUCAUCAGCUCGCAUUGAUUACGUCCCUGCCCUUUGUACACACCGCCCGUCGCACCUACCGAUUGAAUGGUUCGGUGAAGAUCUCGGACUUCGAUAUUUAUUCUUUAUUGAGUUUAUAUUGUGGGAAGUUAUCUAAACCUCAUCAUUUAGAGGAAGGUGAAGUCGUAACA
rnacentral:rRNA from 1 species